rnacentral:rRNA from 1 species
UACGGAGGGGGCUAGCGUUGUUCGGACUUACUGGGCGUAAAGCGCACGUAGGCGGCUUUGUAAGUUAGAGGUGAAAGCCCGGGGCUCAACUCCGGAAUUGCCUUUAAGACUGCAUCGCUAGAAUUGUGGAGAGGUAAGUGGAAUUCCGAGUGUAGAGGUGAAAUUCGUAGAUAUUCGGAAGAACACCAGUGGCGAAGGCGACUUACUGGACACAUAUUGACGCUGAGGUGCGAAAGCGUGGGGAGCAAACAGG